GGCACACGCUAGGGGUCCUGCAAGUCGCAAUUCGCGAUGCGCGGGUGAGAAACACCCUCUGAACCUGAUCUGGAUAAUGCCAGCGAAGGGAAGCUUAGUGAGCCACAA
rnacentral:ncRNA from 2 species